GGAAUUUUCUAAAUUCAUAUUCAAAAUAUACCAAAAUUUGAUUGGUUUCACAAGAAAUUGGUUACAAACUAACCCUAACACAACAUAGGUACAAUGCACGCAGACACACACGUAACAUGACACUAACAAGCACACACAACUAAGGGGAAGGGACUAGCUUCCCAUAAGGGCCAGUUAUCUUACAGUCCACAAUGGGUUUAUUUCCACAGAAAGCGAUUUCCUGAGUUCUAAAAGUAUUUCAUCAUCUCACGGAGAGUGGAAGUGGGGAAAAGAAAGAGCGAGAUGAAGAGGGAUGGGGAGACGGAGGUAGAGAGAGAGAACAGAGAUGGUCAGAGGGACAGGGAGACGAAGGUAGAGAGAGAGAACAGAGAUGGUCAGAGGGACGGGGAGACGGAGGUGGAGAGAGAGAGAACAGAGAUGGUCAGAGGGACGGGGAGACGGAGGUAGAGAGAGAGAACAGAGAUGGUCAGAGGGAGAGGGACGGGGAGACGGAGGUGGAGAGAGAGAACAGAGAUGGUCAGAGGGAUGGGGAGACGGAGGUGGAGAGAGAGAACAGAGAUGGUCAGAGGGACGGGGAGACGGAGGUAGAGAGAGAGAACAGAGAUGGUCAGAGCGACGGGGAGACGGAGGUAGAGAGAGAGAACAGAGAUGGUCAGAGGGACGGGGAGAUGGAGGUGGAGAGAGAGAACAGAGAUGGUCAGACGGAGGUAGAGAGAGAACAGAGAUGAUCAGACGGAGGUAGAGAGAGAGAGAACAGAGAUGGUCAGAGGGGCGGGGAGACGGAGGUAGAGAGAGAGAACAGAGAUGGUCAGAGGGACGGGGAGACGGAGGUAGAGAGAGAGAACAGAGAUGGUCAGACGGAGGUAGAGAGAGAGAACAGAGAUGGUCAGAGGGACGGGGAGAUGGAGGUGGAGAGAGAGAACAGAGAUGGUCAGAGGGACAGGGAGACGGAGGUAGAGAGAGAGAACAGAGAUGGUCAGAGGGACGGGGAGAUGGAGGUAGAGAGAGAGAACAGAGAUGGUCAGAGGGACAGGGAGACAGAGGUAGAGAGAGAGAACAGAGAUGGUCAGAGCGACGGGGAGACGGAGGUAGAGAGAGAGAACAGAUGGUCAGAGGGACGGGGAGAUGGAGGUAGAGAGAGAGAACAGAGAUGGUCAGAGGGACAGGGAGACAGAGGUAGAGAGAGAGAACAGAGAUGGUCAGAGCGACGAGGAGACGGAGGUAGAGAGAGAGAACAGAGAUGGUCAGAGGGACGGGGAGACGGAGGUAGAGAGAGAGAACAGAGAUGGUCAGACGGAGGUAGAGAGAGAGAACAGAGAUGGUCAGGGAGACGGAGGUGGAGAGAGAGAACAGAGAUGGUCAGAGCGACAGGGAGACGGAGGUAGAGAGAGAGAACAGAGAUGGUCAGGGAGACGGAGGUAGAGAGAGAGAACAGAGAUGGUCAGAGGGACGGGGAGACGGAGGUAGAGAGAGAGAACAGAGAUGGUCAGAGGGACGGGGAGACGGAGGUAGAGAGAGAGAACAGAGAUGGUCAGACGGAGGUAGAGAGAGAGAACAGAGAUGGUCAGACGGAGGUAGAGAGAGAGAACAGAGAUGGUCAGAGGGAUGGGGAGACGGAGGUAGAGAGAGAGAACAGAGAUGGUCAGAGGGACGGGGAGAUGGAGGUGGAGAGAGAGAACAGAGAUGGUCAGAGCGACGGGGAGACGGAGGUAGAGAGAGAGAACAGAGAUGGUCAGAGGGACGGGGAGACGGAGGUAGAGAGAGAGAACAGAGAUGGUCAGAGGGACGGGGAGAUGGAGGUGGAGAGAGAGAACAGAGAUGGUCAGACGGAGGUAGAGAGAGAACAGAGAUGAUCAGACGGAGGUAGAGAGAGAGAGAACAGAGAUGGUCAGACGGAGGUAGAGAGAGAGAGAACAGAGAUGGUCAGACGGAGGUAGAGAGAGAGAGAACAGAGAUGGUCAGAGGGACGGGGAGACGGAGGUGGAGAGAGAACAGAGAUGGUCAGACGGAGGUAGAGAGAGAGAGA